rnacentral:tRNA from 1 species
UCCCUGAUAGCUCAAUUGGUAAAGAAUCCACCUGCAAUGUGGGAGACCCUGGGUUCGAUUCCUGAGUGGGGAA